ACACACACAUUGAGACCAAAAGGGCUGCAAACAGGAAACUCAGACCAGAGAGCUGCGGCUGGCUGUGGGGUGGCAGCCCAAGCUCACACAGGAGAACGACACUCUCAAAGGUGCUGCUCCCUCUGCCCCUGUGAGCUGCGGGUGCCAGGGCCGGCUUCCUGGGAACUGCCCUGAAAUUGAGCAGCUCCUGGUCCACAGGAGGCACCCAGCUGCUUCCCACCUUGAAGAUUUCUCCUGGUCCUCGGCUAUUGAAGGACCCGGGGAGCCUGCCGCGAGGAGGUGUGGACAGGGACAGUGCGGGCAGCCCUGUGGCACACCUCCUUGCUGUCCUGCAUGCCCCCUCUCCAGCCUGGGGAGUUCACAAAACACUUCAGCUGAGAUGCAAACAGAAGCCUGAGCCCCUCACGUGGCUGCCUGCGACACAGCAUCCUGCCUGUGAUGGGACCCGCACAGACAAAGGCCAGCUGGGCAAAGGAAGUGGCAGGUAGUCAGUGUGAUGGAAAUCACAGAGCCAUGUUGGUCAAAGUUCACUUGAAAUUUCCUGAUGUCUGAACAUAAUGCACAUUGCCAGAGGAAGGAGCCAGUGUGUUUACACCCAAUGUCUAGGCUUUUCCUAAGCAGCCUUCCCCAUCAGCACUGGCUCACAGUGGAGCCGGAAUCAGCAGGAGUCCGGUGCACAGGACGGAGAAAGGUCAGCAACCAAGUCCUGUCUGGGCUGAGAUCUGGUCUCCAUAUCAACCCGGCUCCAUUCGCGCAGGCUCUGUGUAUCUCCUGUCGGACCACAGCUGAAGGUCACCCUCAGGCCUUUAACCUAAGUGGACCACUGAGAUCACCAUCAGCUGGCCCACGAGCCAAAACAAUUCCCGGUUCAUUCUUCCAGGCCGAAGGUAACAUCUCAACUGGCACUGACUCCCGAGGCCUGCAUCUUCCACUGUAGGACCUUAAGGAACUUUGGAGCUGAUGUUCACAUUAAGUCAAAACUGCAAUGUCCAACGUCUGCCAAGGACUGCUCGGUGUCCACCCACAGAGCCCUCAUGUCCACAGGAGUCCUGAGCAUUUGCAGAGUUUGGAUUCAUUGCUUCAGUUACUCCAGAGACACCCAGGGAGCCUGUGGCCUGCACUCCUCUGUAACCCAGCUGGGAUGAAUCUGAUUAAAGUGAACUGCAGGCCUGGAAAGUGGACUCCAGACACUUUAGCCACGGAAAGACCCUGGUCGACUGCUCACAAUCGGGGACUUGGAGCAGCUGCGCUGCUCUCUGCUCUUCCCAAACACGAAUUAUGUGAGACAGGAUGCGCUCACGUGCCACUGGCCUGUUGGGGAUUUACAAAGGCCUCGGCUCUCCCUCUCAAAGGUCAGGAGUCUUUGCUGGUCAGUCACAAUGUUCUUUAUGAGGUAGAAUGAAAAAUGCAUAAUACAAUGUAAGAUAUGUGUAUAGGGACACAAAUGUGUGCGGAAUGAAAAAGGAUACGAAAGAAAACGCAUCCUACAGUUAGACCAACGUUUUCCAAAUGGAGGCGAUCCUGCCUCCAGAAGAUGUCUGAUAAUAUUUAAAGAUAUUUUGGGGUAUUGCAACUGGCUAGAGGGGCACACGUAGGGCUGUGGGGCGCAGGGCAUGAGUGCGUCUACCAGGCGGAGGCCAGGACGCUGCUACACCACCGCAGUGCCCAGGGUGGCCUCCAGCACGAGUGACCUCCCAGGACAACAGUGUCAAGGUUGACAACCCCGACUCUGAGUUUUAUGACAUUUCCUUCUCAUACCCUCCGCCCUCCCUUACUCCCUCUCUAAUAAAUUGUGUGGUUCUAAAACCAGAUGAUGAUCACUUUUGCUUCUGGAGAAUUUCUUUUGUAACUUAAAUAAUACCCUCAGCUUUUUUUUUUUUUAAUCAAGGACCGAGAAGGCAAUGAAGAAGUGGAAACCCCUGCAUUUUGUGAUAAAUCUACAGCUUAAGACAGAGUUCAUGAUGUUAUAAAUGCAUCUUGUAUAAAACUGCUCCCAAAUAAAUAUCAUGUAGGUCUCAGGACCACAAAAGUUUCGUUUCUCUUCUCUCUCUUU